rnacentral:lncRNA from 1 species
UCACAAAUCACUUCUAAGCAACAUAAGAGGUCUUUUAAGCACCUUAAGCUCUUUUAAGACAUGAAACUAUAAAGUUAGUCGAUCAAGGAUCUUAAUCAAUAAAAAAAAUACAACAUUAGUAUUCUAUACCAUCAACAUGAGGUGCAAAUCAAACCUUGAAUCUAAGAUGCACUAAAAAAUAAGUAAGAGCAAACAAAGAUCUAGAUCUAGAUCUAAAUCUAAGAGUUAGAAUAUCAAAAUCCUAACAUCAGCAACAACAAUAUGAUCUAUUCUAUAUAAUAAUAAAGAUUUCAUAAAACUUUAAAGAAAUUCAUAAUGGAAUAUCAGUGGGUACAUAAUCUAUUGAAAAAAGAGAAGUUAGAAGCCAUAAUACUUAGCAUUAGCAAGAUUGCAUACAAAGUGAAGUGGAGUAAGAUGACUCUUACUUCCAACAUUCUUUACCUAUAGCCAAAGUUUACAUCAAUUGUUCAUUUUCAUCCUUCUUUCUUUCAUCCAUCUAAAUCCUAGAUUCUUCUUAACCUAACUGCCAUCUAAAACUUCUUGCCACCACUUUAAUAACAUCUUUUAAUCCUUAGUUCUCUUUUUAUUAUUAGCAACUUACUAUGGUUUAUUACAAUGUGGUGGCAACUAUGCAAAAUCUUGCUGAUCUUCAACAUGUUUCA